GUAGUACUCCCUCCAUCUGAAAAUACUUGUCAUCAAAAUGGAUAAAAGAGGAUGUAUCUAGACAUGUUUUAGUUCUAGAUACAUCUUUUUUUGUCCAUUUUGAUGACAAGUAUUUCCGGACGGAUGGAGUAGUAU
rnacentral:pre_miRNA from 1 species